UACGGAGGGGGCUAGCGUUGUUCGGAAUUACUGGGCGUAAAGCGCGCGUAGGCGGACCUGCAAGUCGGGGGUGAAAGCCCGAGGCUCAACCUCGGAACUGCCUUCGAUACUGCGGGUCUCGAGUCCGGGAGAGGUGAGUGGAAUUCCUAGUGUAGAGGUGAAAUUCGUAGAUAUCAGGAAGAACACCCGUGGCGAAGGCGGCUCUCUGGAACGCAACUGACGCUGAGGAGCGAAAGCGUGGGGAGCGAACAGG
rnacentral:rRNA from 1 species